rnacentral:lncRNA from 1 species
AACUAAAUAAGCUAAUGUGAAGGAUUGUGCUUGUCCUGUUGUUGAGUCAAUAACUGGUUCUCCUGUGGUAUUAUCUAUUCUUCUUGCUGUCAAUAUAUUAGUUUUUAUUUCAUUACUUAAUAAUUUGUCCCACCAAGUUCUUAAUUCUCCUGUGAAUCCUAAUAUUAUAUUUUCAGCUGCUUCUCGUUCAGUAACUCCAACUCUUUGUUUAUAUAUAUUUCCUACAAUUACCAUUUCUUUAGUUAUUUGUAUUAUUUC